UCAUUGGAGGCAUGUCUCUUGCUGGUGUGU
rnacentral:piRNA from 1 species